UACGUAGGUGGCAAGCGUUGUCCGGAUUUAUUGGGUUUAAAGGGUGCGUAGGCGGUCGGGUAAGUCUGACGUGAAAUCUUCAAGCUCAACUUGGAAACUGCGUCGGAUACUAUUCGGCUAGAGGAAUGGAGGGGAGACUGGAAUACUUGGUGUAGCAGUGAAAUGCGUAGAUAUCAAGUGGAACACCAGUGGCGAAGGCGAGUCUCUGGACAUUUCCUGACGCUGAGGCACGAAAGCCAGGGGAGCAAACGGG
rnacentral:rRNA from 1 species